UACGGAGGGUGCGAGCGUUAUCCGGAAUUUCUGGGUUUAAAGGGUGCGUAGGCGGCUGUGUAAGUCAGGAGUGAAAGUUUGCGGCUCAACCGUAAAAUUGCUUUUGAUACUGCAUGGCUAGAAUCAGGAUGAGGUUAGCGGAAUGUGGCAUGUAGCGGUGAAAUGCAUAGAUAUGCCAUAGAACACCAAUUGCGAAGGCAGCUGGCUAGACCUGUAUUGACGCUGAGGCACGAAAGCGUGGGGAGCGAACAGG
rnacentral:rRNA from 1 species